AGCUCCUUGCAGCUCCCCUCUGCCUGCUGGAUGGGACGCUCCCCGAUUCAGGAAUUGCUUAAUAAAGCCAAUUACAUCUUCACAUUUACUCGUAAUCUCUUUGCCCAGUGUGGGGCUUGAACUCUCAACCCCAAGAUCAAGAGUACCAUGCUGUACUGACUGAGCCAGCCAGGCACCCCCGGCCAUAUGAAGGUUUACAGGAACUGCCACCCCUACUUGAGGCUGCUCAGGCUAGCCUGCUGGGGACACGUGACCCAUCCACUAGCAAGUGCCAACUGCCGUCUUAGACCAGCCAGCCGCGUUCAAGUCACUAGAUGACCACAGCCACGUGAGUGACCCCAAACAAAUGCAGCAGAGGAACCGCCCGACUGAUCCCGACCCAACUGGUGACCCACACAAUCCAAGGGUGCGGGGCCCGCCUUUCUUUGAUGUUGCGCUGAGACGCUUGUGCCGGCACCACGGGAGGCUUGGAUGCUCCCCCGGCACUUCUGACGUUCUGACGUCUGGACUUGGACUCUUCCGAAGCGGCAAAUUGGAACCAUAACGAAACUCUGAAGCCACUCAGAGUGAAGCCAUCUGGAUGGAGAGUAUGCCCUGGGGAUUUCCAGUCCUGAGGUCUUCCUAGGUGCUCGGUGCCAAUUCAGGGUCCCACAGAAUGUCUUCUCCCUCCAUUUCUGGAGAUCCUGAGCUGCAUACGGAUGGGGCUGGGUGGGUGGAGAGACCCCUGGAUACCUGUUUAAAAACUUAAAAGGAGGAGCGUGAGAGCGAGAGUGGGGCUUGACUCACCACGCGAGGUUGGCCGGCCUUGACUUCGCUCGUCUCCUGUUAACGGCUCAUGGUCAAAAUAGUGGCAGGGCACGGUUACAGAAAAGCUCCCUCUUUGUCUGCUCAGACUCCAUAGAAAUCCUUGGUGUCGUGAAAGAUUAAAGCCAAUCCGCCGGUCCUCCAGGGGUUGAGAAUGGAACGCACUAUGGUCCUUGGUCUUCCGCGUGUCAAGCGUGGUUCUGGCAGGUGAAAGGAGCUGUGUCAGGUACGGCAAAGCUGCGGUGACUGCAGACAGACAUGUGCAGAAAGAGGACGGAAGGGAAGCAAGGGUGACCAGUAUGUUCCCUUUGAACGCCACAAAGGAUCGCAUUAUAAGCUUGCAGAGGCGCUGGAUCGCUGUCUAGUCUGCAUUUACUGAAAUGUGAAACUUCCACGAGAAGAGGAGGAAAAAUCCCCCCGCUGUCUGAUAUUCUGCCUUGGAAUGCUGUUAAGAACUACGUCUUUUUUUUGUUGUUCUUUCCUCCCUUCGUGCUUUCUACCUUUCUGAAAAUGAACAACCACCGUUAUGACCUGUUGUCUUUUUAUAUCGUGUUAAGUAUUUACAUUUUUAUGUAUUUGCAACCAUGAAUGAGAUACAUAUAAAAAAGGUGCAUGCCAUAGGUGCUGAAAAGAAGUCUAGGCAGUUAUUUAUAGCAAAGAGAUUUUGAAAAAUGAACCUUUUUUUUUGUAUCACAAACCUUCCCCUUGACUAUUAGAGCAAGUGUGAAAACCAGUGGGUUUAUUUUAUUUUAUUAUUUUUUUAAAGUUCAUUUCUUUAUUUUGAGAAAGAGGGAGUGAGGGAGGGGCAGAGAGCGAGGUAUUGAGAAUCCCAAGCAGGGAUCCCAAGGCUGGGCUCGACUCAGGGCUCGACUCAGGGCUCGAACUCACAAACUGUAAGGUCAUGACCGGAGGCGAAAUCAAGAGUCAGAUGCUUAAUGGACCGAGCCACCGAGGCACCCCAUCUGUGGGUUCCUUUUAAAAGUUCACUUAUGGGAGCCUGGGUGGCUCAGUCUGUUAAGCGUCUGACUUUGGCUCACCUCAUGAUCUGAUGGUCGUGAGUUCGAGUCCUGCUUUGGGUGAACAUGAGUCCCGCUCUGGGUGAGCCCCACCUCUCUCUCCCUCUUGCUCUCUUUCUCUCUCUGCCCCUUGUGAAAUUCUCUCUCUCUCUCUCCCUCUGUCUCUGUCUCUCUCUCUGCCCCUUGCUCACUUGCACCCUUUCUCUCUCUCUCUCUCUGUCUCUCUCUCUCUCUCUCUCUCUCAAAAAACCGAUUCAUUUGAAGUUUGAUUUGGUCUGGCUUCCGUUUUGUGACAUCAUUGACCCCCAAGAGAUUGCACCCACCCAGUAUUCAUGCCCUUGGAUAUUCCCCACCCCCAACUUUGCCUCUGGGGUUGGCCUGUGACUACAUGUGGCCAGUGGGAAACUCGCAAGUGUGAUGCACGCAGAAGCUUGAUAAGCAUUUACACACUGGGGCUUGUCCUCUUAUAAAGCUUGCUCUUAGAACCCAGCCACCAAGCUGUGAGAAAGUCCAAGUGGCCACCUGGAGAGUUUUAGUUGGAAGACAACAAAGCCCCCGGCCAACAGUUAGCCCCAACUUGCCGGCUCUGUGAAUGGGGCCACCGUAGAAAUGGAUCCUCCAACCCCCGGUGGAGCCCCCCCAGCUGAUUCCACACGGAACAGAGAUGAGCUUUCCCCAUCAAGCCCUGGCCAAAUUGCAGAUGUGUGAGUCAGUGAAUGGUGGUGGUUGUUUUGAGCCAUUAAGUUUUGGGGUACUUUGUUACGUAUGCGUAAAAUGGUACCUAAGCUAUUUUUUGUAUGGAUUGUAUCUCGUUGUGUAUCAACCCCUAAAUUUAAGUUGGCAUAAAGAUCGUAACUGUUUCGUAGUUCAGGAACUCUGUGUUGAGGGAGGGUCCGAGACUGCAUCCUGGUUUAGCAGAAAGGUAUGCAAGUCCCUUAUUCUAUUGAUUCUCCACCCACCAGCCCGCGUGAUCUUUUAAAAAU